UACGUAGGGUGCAAGCGUUGUCCGGAAUUAUUGGGCGUAAAGAGCUCGUAGGCGGUUUGUCGCGUCGGAAGUGAAAACACGGGGCUUAACUCUGUGCUUGCUUUCGAUACGGGCAGACUAGAGGGAUGCAGGGGAGAACGGAAUUCCUGGUGUAGCGGUGAAAUGCGCAGAUAUCAGGAGGAACACCGGUGGCGAAGGCGGUUCUCUGGGCAUUCCCUGACGCUGAGGAGCGAAAGUGUGGGGAGCGAACAGG
rnacentral:rRNA from 1 species